GAAAUGCGAUAAGUAAUGUGAAUUGCAGAAUUCAGUGAAUCAUCGAAUCUUUGAACGCACCUUGCGCUCCUUGGUAUUCCUUGGAGCAUGCCUGUUUGAGUAUCAUGAAAUCUUCAAAGUAAAUCUUUUGUUAACUCAAUUGGUUUCUACUUUGGUAUUGGAGGUCUUUGCAGCUUCACACCUGCUCCUCUUUGAUCAUUAGCUGGAUCUCAGUGUUAUGCUUGGUUCCACUCGGCGUGAUAAGUUAUCUAUCGCUGAGGACACUGUAAAAGGUGGCCAAGGUAAAUGCAGAUGAACCGCUUCUAAUAGUCCAUUGACUUGGACAAUACUUUUAUGAUCUGAUCUCAAAUCAGGUAGGACUACCCGCUGAACUUAAGC
rnacentral:misc_RNA from 1 species